UUAAGCGACUAAGCGUACACGGUGGAUGCCCUGGCAGUCAGAGGCGAUGAAGGACGUGCUAAUCUGCGAAAAGCGCCGGCGAGGUGAUAUGAACCCUUGACCCGGCGAUGUCCGAAUGGGGAAACCCAGUGCAAUCCGUUGCACUAUCGUUAACUGAAUACAUAGGUUAACGAGGCGAACCGGGGGAACUGAAACAUCUAAGUACCCCGAGGAAAAGAAAUCAACCGAGAUUCCCCCAGUAGCGGCGAGCGAACGGGGAGCAGCCCGGAGUCUGAAUCAGCUUGUGUGUUAGUGGAACGGUCUGGAAAGUCCGACGGUACAGGGUGAUAGUCCCGUACACGAAAGCACACAUGCUGUGAACUCGAAGAGUAGGGCGGGACACGUGGUAUCCUGUCUGAAUAUGGGGGGACCAUCCUCCAAGGCUAAAUACUCCUGACUGACCGAUAGUGAACCAGUACCGUGAGGGAAAGGCGAAAAGAACCCCGGCGAGGGGAGUGAAAAAGAACCUGAAACCGUGUACGUACAAGCAGUGGGAGCCUCUUUUAUGGGGUGACUGCGUACCUUUUGUAUAAUGGGUCAGCGACUUAUAUUCUGUAGCAAGGUUAACCGUAUAGGGGAGCCGAAGGGAAACCGAGUCUUAACUGGGCGUUAAGUUGCAGGGUAUAGACCCGAAACCCGGUGAUCUAGCCAUGGGCAGGUUGAAGGUUGGGUAACACUAACUGGAGGACCGAACCGACUAAUGUUGAAAAAUUAGCGGAUGACCUGUGGCUGGGGGUGAAAGGCCAAUCAAACCGGGAGAUAGCUGGUUCUCCCCGAAAGCUAUUUAGGUAGCGCCUCGUGAACUCAUCUUCGGGGGUAGAGCACUGUUUCGGCUAGGGGGCCAUCCCGGCUUACCAACCCGAUGCAAACUACGAAUACCGAAGAAUGUUAUCACGGGAGACACACGGCGGGUGCUAACGUCCGUCGUGAAGAGGGAAACAACCCAGACCGCCAGCUAAGGUCCCAAAGUCAUGGUUAAGUGGGAAACGAUGUGGGAAGGCACAGACAGCCAGGAUGUUGGCUUAGAAGCAGCCAUCAUUUAAAGAAAGCGUAAUAGCUCACUGGUCGAGUCGGCCUGCGCGGAAGAUGUAACGGGGCUAAACCAUGCACCGAAGCUGCGGCAGCGACACUAUGUGUUGUUGGGUAGGGGAGCGUUCUGUAAGCCGUUGAAGGUGUGCUGUGAGGCAUGCUGGAGGUAUCAGAAGUGCGAAUGCUGACAUAAGUAACGAUAAAGCGGGUGAAAAGCCCGCUCGCCGGAAGACCAAGGGUUCCUGUCCAACGUUAAUCGGGGCAGGGUGAGUCGACCCCUAAGGCGAGGCCGAAAGGCGUAGUCGAUGGGAAACAGGUUAAUAUUCCUGUACUUGGUGUUACUGCGAAGGGGGGACGGAGAAGGCUAUGUCAGCCGGGCGACGGUUGUCCCGGUUUAAGCAUGUAGGCGGAGGUUCCAGGUAAAUCCGGUACCUUUUAACGCUGAGGUGUGAUGACGAGGCACUACGGUGCUGAAGUGAUAAAUGCCCUGCUUCCAGGAAAAGCCUCUAAGCAUCAGGUAACACGAAAUCGUACCCCAAACCGACACAGGUGGUCAGGUAGAGAAUACCAAGGCGCUUGAGAGAACUCGGGUGAAGGAACUAGGCAAAAUGGUGCCGUAACUUCGGGAGAAGGCACGCUGAUGUGUAGGUGAAGCCCCUGCGGGCGGAGCUGAAAUCAGUCGAAGAUACCAGCUGGCUGCAACUGUUUAUUAAAAACACAGCACUGUGCAAACACGAAAGUGGACGUAUACGGUGUGACGCCUGCCCGGUGCCGGAAGGUUAAUUGAUGGGGUUAGCGGCAACGCGAAGCUCUUGAUCGAAGCCCCGGUAAACGGCGGCCGUAACUAUAACGGUCCUAAGGUAGCGAAAUUCCUUGUCGGGUAAGUUCCGACCUGCACGAAUGGCGUAAUGAUGGCCAGGCUGUCUCCACCCGAGACUCAGUGAAAUUGAACUCGCUGUGAAGAUGCAGUGUACCCGCGGCAAGACGGAAAGACCCCGUGAACCUUUACUAUAGCUUGACACUGAACACUGGUCCUUGAUGUGUAGGAUAGGUGGGAGGCUUUGAAGCGUGGACGCCAGUCUGCGUGGAGCCAACCUUGAAAUACCACCCUUUAAUGGCUGGUGUUCUAACGUAGACCCGUAAUCCGGGUUGCGGACAGUGUCUGGUGGGUAGUUUGACUGGGGCGGUCUCCUCCCAAAGAGUAACGGAGGAGCACGAAGGUUGGCUAAUCCUGGUCGGACAUCAGGAGGUUAGUGCAAUGGCAUAAGCCAGCUUGACUGCGAGCGUGACGGCGCGAGCAGGUGCGAAAGCAGGUCAUAGUGAUCCGGUGGUUCUGAAUGGAAGGGCCAUCGCUCAACGGAUAAAAGGUACUCCGGGGAUAACAGGCUGAUACCGCCCAAGAGUUCAUAUCGACGGCGGUGUUUGGCACCUCGAUGUCGGCUCAUCACAUCCUGGGGCUGAAGUAGGUCCCAAGGGUAUGGCUGUUCGCCAUUUAAAGUGGUACGCGAGCUGGGUUUAGAACGUCGUGAGACAGUUCGGUCCCUAUCUGCCGUGGGCGCUGGAGAAUUGAGGGGGGCUGCUCCUAGUACGAGAGGACCGGAGUGGACGCAUCACUGGUGUUCGGGUUGUCAUGCCAAUGGCACUGCCCGGUAGCUAAAUGCGGAAGAGAUAAGUGCUGAAAGCAUCUAAGCACGAAACUUGCCCCGAGAUGAGUUCUCCCUGAGACCUUGAGUCUCCUGAAGGAACGUUGAAGACGACGACGUUGAUAGGUCGGGUGUGUAAGCGCAGCGAUGCGUUGAGCUAACCGAUACUAAUGAACCGUGAGGCUUAACCUU
rnacentral:rRNA from 2 species